rnacentral:rRNA from 1 species
AGAGUUUGAUCCUGGCUCAGGACGAACGCUGGCGGCGUGCUUAACACAUGCAAGUGGAGCGACGAAGCGGGCUUCGGCCCGUGGCAGAGCCGCGAACGGGUGAGUAACACGUGGGUAACCUACCCCGAUGACCGGGACAACCCGAGGAAACUCGGGCUAAUACCGGAUGUUCUGCACUCUCGUAAGGGAGUUCAGCAAAGAUAGCUUCGGCCUUCGCAUCGGGACGGGCCCGCGGCCCAUUAGCUUGUUGGUGGGGUAACGGCCUACCAAGGCGACGAUGGGUAGCUGGUCUGAGAGGACGAUCAGCCACACUGGGACUGAGACACGGCCCAGACUCCUACGGGAGGCAGCAGUGGGGAAUCUUGCGCAAUGCGCGAAAGCGUGACGCAGCAACGCCGCGUGGGGGAAGAAGGCCUUCGGGUUGUAAACCCCUUUCAGUUGGGACGAAGCUUCCAGGGUUAAUAGCUCUGUGGAGUGACGGUACCUUCAGAAGAAGCCCCGGCUAACUACGUGCCAGCAGCCGCGGUAAUACGUAGGGGGCUAGCGUUGUCCGGAAUCAUUGGGCGUAAAGCGCGUGUAGGCGGUCCGGUAAGUCCGCUGUGAAAGUCGGGGGCUCAACCCUCGGAUGCCGGUGGAUACUGUCGGGCUUGAGUACGGAAGAGGCGAGUGGAAUUCCUGGUGUAGCGGUGAAAUGCGCAGAUAUCAGGAGGAACACCAAUUGCGAAGGCAGCUCGCUGGGACGUUACUGACGCUGAGACGCGAAAGCGUGGGGAGCAAACAGGAUUAGAUACCCUAGUAGUCC